rnacentral:rRNA from 1 species
ACAUAUACAGGAAUAUGGCAGAAAUGUCAUAGCCGCAAGGUCUGUAUACAGGUGGUGCAUGGUUGUCGUCAGCUCGUGUCGUGAGAUGUUGGGUUAAGUCCCGCAACGAGCGCAACCCUCGUUCUGUGUUGCCAGCAUUUAGUUGGGGACUCACAGGAGACUGCCGGGGUUAACUCGGAGGAAGGUGGGGAUGACGUCAAAUCAUCAUGCCCCUUAUGUCUUGGGCUGCACGCAUGCUACAAUGGCUGGUACAAACGGCUGCGAUACCGCAAGGUGGAGCGAAUCCGAUAAAGCCAGUCUCAGUUCGGAUUGGGGUCUGCAACUCGACCCCAUGAAGUCGGAGUUGCUAGUAAUCGUAGAUCAGCAACGCUACGGUGAAUACGUUCCCGGGACUUGUACACACCGCCCGUCACGUCACGAAAGUCGGUAACACCCGAAGUCAGUGGCCCAACCGUAAGGGUGGAGCUGCCGAAGGUGGGAUCGGUGAUUGGGACGAAGUCGUAACAAGGUACC